rnacentral:rRNA from 1 species
GCUGUAAAGGAGAGUAACAAGUACGUGAACUGCUUAGAGGUUAAACCCGAUGAACCUAAAUAUCCAGUAUGAGAAAGUCAUUAUUAUGAGUAUAUUAUUUUAUAAUGUAUUAAUAGUGUGCAUUUUUUUCAUAAAAAGGACAUUGUAAUCUGUUAAUACAAUUUAUAUAUUCUUUUAUAUAUUAUUUUUAUCAUAAAGAGUCAUGUAUAAGUUUACAUAUAAAUUAAUUAAUUUAUUAAUUAAUUGAUGUAAGAUCGAUGAAUUUCUAGAUAAAUAGUUAACAGUAUUAAAAUAUAUAAUGCUUACAUAAUUUUUUAUGUUUUAUAUAUAAUAUGUACAUGUACAUAUAUAUGUUUUUGCAUUUAUAUUAUAACAAUGCUAUAGAUUAGGAUCCUGCACGCGUC